GUCCUCUCAGGGUCGCACCUGAAGAGUUUAUACUACUCUUACCAGUCUCGACUACGGGAGGGGAGAGUCAAGCAGAGGCCUAUCCAUUCCAUUCCUAGCUUGGGCAGUGGCUAGUGAGUGGAUGGCAAUCUGCUACAAGU